CCUACGGGAGGCAGCAGUGAGGAAUAUUGGUCAAUGGACGGAAGUCUGAACCAGCCAUGUCGCGUGAAGGAAGACUGCCCUAUGAGUUGUAAACUGCUUUUGUAUAAGGGUAAAGCUGUCCACGUGUGUUCUGCUGUAUGUACUGUAUGAAUAAGGAUCGGCUAACUCCGUGCCAGCAGCCGCGGUAAUACGGAGGAUCCGAGCGUUAUCCGGAUUUAUUGGGUUUAAAGGGAGCGUAGGUGGGUUGUUAAGUCAGUUGUGAAAGUUUGCGGCUCAACCGUAAAAUUGCAAUUGAUACUGGCAGUCUUGAGUACAGUAGAGGUAGGCGGAAUUCGUGGUGUAGCGGUGAAAUGCUUAGAUAUCACGAAGAACUCCGAUUGCGAAGGCAGCUUACUAAACUGCCACUGACAUUGAGGCUCGAAAGUGUGGGUAUCAAACAGGAUUAGAUACCCCUGUAGUC
rnacentral:rRNA from 1 species